GAUAAUUUUCAAAAAAAAUUUAUGUACUGUUAAGUUUCAGGCGUUGUGGUCUUUUCCUUUAUCUUUAAUAUGUGCAACAUUUUUCUUACAGACUGUCGUCUCUUGCAAGUCUCUUAUAGGGUCAUCAAUGUAAUCUUAAUUGUGGCAUAUUUCUGUUGCAGGGCAAUGGGGAUCAUCUUCGAAAUAUCUGCACUUAAGCUGUGGAUGUUUGCAAUUCGUGUUCAAUGUGACUACCUUUAUGCAAGGGGCGUCACUUAGGCUGAUUUUUUUUGAUGGUGGGAGUAAGGUGAAUGUGGGUGUAAGGGGUGUUACUUAGAUCUUUUGUAUGGUUCGCAGAACUUCAAGAGGAAAAUAUUGUAGUUCUUCGAAGAGGAAAUUUGGGAAGCUAAGUUUAUAACAUUGAAGAGUUUGGAAUUGAACUUUCAAUCUGACAUUAUUGGUUGCUGGGAAGGUCUUUCUGUAUCUAGCAAUCAGUUGCAGGUUUGUGGUAGUGAAGAUACCAGAAGUAUUGACACAUCUUGGAAUUUUUUUUUAUGGUUAUUGAUGUUUGAUAGACAAAGGCAGUAAAUAUAUGGAAGAUGAUCUGGAUAAUCGCUACAACUCGAAUUGGGAUGCUAAAUGCAAUGGUCAAGGCCAUCGACGGGUUGUGUUCAUUUAUCCAUCUCGAAGCUAGCACUCUAUGGAGCAAGCACUCUGCUGUCUUGGUGGUACUAAUUCAAUCUUCACAGGAGGCAUGGGAACACUGGUGCCUAAUGUCCUUUACGUGGGGACUAUAGUUGUGGUUCUAAAAUUGGCUUUUCAGGGCUCACCUAUCUUUUAGUAUUCCCCUCUCGGAUGAAGGUGAAGGAAAUUGAAGGUACACCUCUUCUGGAUGAAGAUUCCCUAAAAGCUUCGCUCCGGCUCCUGAGGCUAGCACAGGUACCAUUCAGUUUGAGUAACUUCAGUUUGGAUAGAUCUCGACCAGAUACAUGAAAUAUUUUAUUGCACAUACUACAAGUGGAUCAACUGUUGCUGAAGUUGAUCUUACUCCUCCUCCAUCUUCUGCAAUUGUACUUUCAACUGGAAAUGGCAAUCCAAUCAUGCAAGGGCUUUAAUUGAGAUUCUACCAAACAUCAAGGCCAGCUGCAUGACAGCGUUAGUUGAAUAAAAGUGAGUAUGAAAGAGCGGGCCAAGAGAUUUUACCAUUCAUCCAUAUCCGCAUUUUUGUUGGGAUGGGCGUAUCUCUUGGUAUUGAUGUAUUAGAAGCUCCCGGAGCGGCAAAAUAUUACCAUACUGUCUUAACUUCCAUACUGACUGCUAUGACGAAAACUAUUAUCCCGGAUUGAGCAGUGUCCAGACUGAUCCAAUUGCUACAACUUUGGCUUCCUCCAUAUCAAGUUUGAAAGUGAUUCAUGGGGUUGCUUUUUCAAGCUUCGAACUUUGUAAAUUGUGGAGGUUGUUUGGCAUACAACUGUAUUGCGUCGGAGUAGGUCUGUGCUCCGAGUUGUCACCAAAUAAAAACCAAAUUUAUAGCGAAAGAGGAUCAACUGCUGCUAAAUAGUAGGGUCAAUGUGAUAGGAAGCAUUUCGAACCUGUUGUACAACGAGAAGGAACCUGUUUUUCCAACAUGUUUCACGGUUGCAGUGGAACUAAUUGUUUUGAAGGCACUAGGAGAACUAUUGUUCUUUACUUUUAGAAAAGCUGAAGUUUGUAACGUUAUAUUUAUGUGUGAGGUCCCUAAAGGUCUUGAGCUGGAUAUCAGGGCAUCGGAACAAUAGGGCUUGGCGAGAAGGCAACGGUAUAUUUUAGUAAUCAAUACUAGAAUUUUAGAAAUUAAUACUAGAAGAAUCUCCUUUCAUGCCGAAUGAAGAAGGUUUUGACUUUUGAAGAUGUCCUGUUCAAUAUGGAAUUAGUUCACUUCAUUCAAGCACGUCUGGUGAAAUCCUUUAUUCAGGAGAAUUCUCGGCCAAGUCCUGCUAUAAAGUUCAGUGUGGUGACAUCCUUUCUUUUUCGACAUUAUCUACAAUAGCUCAUAUCUGAUAUUUUUUUCUUGGAAUAACUGGAUGUCGUAACAGCUUUUGAGGUUGUUAAUGUUAAUGGCUGCAUUAGCUUAACGAAUUUGCAUGCUUCAAAAUCUGAAAAU